AGAGUUUGAUCUUUUCUCAGAUUGAACGCUGGCGGCAUGCCUUACACAUGCAAGUCGAACGGCAGCACGGGAGCUUGCUCCUGGUGGCGAGUGGCGAACGGGUGAGUAAUAUAUCGGAACGUACCCUAGAGUGGGGGAUAACGCAGCGAAAGUUGCGCUAAUACCGCAUACGAUCUACGGAUGAAAGUGGGGGAUCGCAAGACCUCAUGCUCAUGGAGCGGCCGAUAUCUGAUUAGCUAGUUGGUGGGGUAAAGGCCUACCAAGGCAUCGAUCAGUAGCUGGUCUGAGAGGACGACCAGCCACACUGGAACUGAGACACGGUCCAGACUCCUACGGGAGGCAGCAGUGGGGAAUUUUGGACAAUGGGGGCAACCCUGAUCCAGCAAUGCCGCGUGAGUGAAGAAGGCCUUCGGGUUGUAAAGCUCUUUUGUCAGGGAAGAAACGGUGAGGGCUAAUAUCCUUUGCUAAUGACGGUACCUGAAGAAUAAGCACCGGCUAACUACGUGCCAGCAGCCGCGGUAAUACGUAGGGUGCAAGCGUUAAUCGGAAUUACUGGGCGUAAAGCGUGCGCAGGCGGUUAUGUAAGUCAGAUGUGAAAUCCCCGGGCUCAACCUGGGAAUGGCAUUUGAGACUGCAAGGCUAGAGUGUGUCAGAGGGGGGUAGAAUUCCACGUGUAGCAGUGAAAUGCGUAGAGAUGUGGAGGAAUACCGAUGGCGAAGGCAGCCCCCUGGGAUAACACUGACGCUCAUGCACGAAAGCGUGGGGAGCAAACAGGAUUAGAUACCCUGGUAGUCCACGCC
rnacentral:rRNA from 1 species